rnacentral:lncRNA from 1 species
UUUAUACAUAUACUGAAGAAAAACACGCACAGAAACACACCCACACAAAAACAGAGCAGCAGCAGCAUCGAGGGUUUGCAAAGGGGGAAUUAGGGUUUCGAUUCUGGCUUUCUUUCAAUCUAAUUUCGAGCUUGAAUCAAUUGAAUCAGGCGGCGGGUUGUUUAAGUUGAGAGAAAUCUAGGGUUCAUAUAAUCAAUUUCCAUCCGGCGAAUCGAUUCAGGUGAGGGUAAAUUCUUGUGUAGAUGCAUAUAUAUAUAUACAUGUUUAUGCAUCCGUGUGGCUAUUUGUGUUAAUUGGGUUUGAUCGGAGAAUUGGAGUUUGGGAUUGUAUGGUUGUGUUGGGUGUUUGAAACAGAGGCGGGGGUAUGGGGUGCUAUCGCGGCGGCGUACUCUCGCCGAAGCCGUGACGACUGACCUCUCAGAAGAUGGGAGAGGGGCGUCGAAGCGGAGGAAAAACAGGGCUUGGGGUGUAUUGUUGAGGAGACUGAAGACAGAGUUGCUUGUUCGUGGGCUGCGCUGUUUGAAGAAGAAGAUGUAAAUAGUGGUGGUGGCGGGUCUGUUGGAUCAGACAACGACGGGUUGCUGUGUUUUUGGUUGAGAAGAGUGGCGGUGAUGGGGCAGAUGGUGGAAAGAGGUGCAGGGAGUCGAGAUAGAGAUAGAGUUUGGAGGCGGUGUUGGUUCGGGGUUGCCACAACAGCCUAGUGUUUUGAAGUAGUAGGUAGAGGUCGGGAGAGGAGUUGCUGCAGGGGUGCUCGACGGAUGUUGGUAAGUGAGGGUGUUUGUGAUUGAUUGAAACUAAAGCAAAUGAGCGGCUCGAAGGAGGUGGCAAUGGGAACUGUGGAGGGCGAAUGGAUUGGAGGCUGUGGGUGGUCGAUAUUGUGUGUGUACAGCCGUGUAUAAUCACACAUAUGUCGAAGCAAGCUUGAGGUUAACAGGCAUGACUGGAUAUGGUAGUUGUUCAAAUUGAUAAUGGGGGGAGGGGUGAUUCAGAGUAUUGCAGCGAUGGGAUGGUGUAUGCUUGUAUUGAUAGUUAGGACUGAGGUUGGACUCGUAGUGGUGCACAGCUGGAUGUGGCUGAAGUGUUGAUAGUUAUAGGCUGAGACGAGGCCACAGAAAGCGAGAGAGCCAGAUUAAAAAUAAGUGUAUACAUUGAAGAUUGUUAUGUUGAAUACAGAGAUGAUCAUCCGAAGAGUUGUUAGAAUCUGUAUGGUAUUGUCAUGGCUCGUCCAAGUUUAAAUAUAGUUACUGCAGAGGCUGGCACAACUUUUACUUAUUCUGGAGUUAGGGACUGGAUAGUGAAUUGUCUGGUAGUACAUUGAAUGUUUUAUUGGAGAGUUUGCAAGUUAAGGGUUUAGUAGCUGGAACUAGGAUAAAGAAUGAAACGGACGCUAUCUCGAAUUUGGAUCUUUCGGACUUUAGAAAUGGAAUAAAAUAUUGACCGAUUGUUAAAUAUUAAUUAAUAUUGUGAUUAUUAGUAUUAUUAUUAUUACCAAUUCUUUGAUGAUAAUAAUGAUAAUUAAUAAUUAUAAUAUUAUUAAUAAUCAAUAAUUGAUUGAUAUAAAUUCUGUUUUUCUUAUUCUGAUCGGUGUAUUAAAGAUUUUUGGUAAAUCUUGAAUUAUGUGAAUUGUUGAUUAUAUCUAACAUUGGUAUUGUUAUAGCUAUAUGAUACGUGUUUAUUGUCGGAACUUAUUUCCGGGCUUUAAUUAUUCCGGUCUUGUGACGGAUAUUAUAUUAUUUGGACAGUGUAUUAUUAUGUUGUUGAUUUGGGAUUUGCUCAAUCUUGAAAUACAUGAUGUCCAAAGUUAUACUAUUUUAUUAAUUUAGUUUGAUAAGAUUUCAGACUGAUUUGAGAUAUGAUUGGAAUACAAGUGGACUUGUAAUUCAGAUUUGGUUUAUAUCCAGGGUUACGUUGUUAAUGGGAUUGAUUGGAUAUAGGAUUAUAUACAGAAUUUAUUUGAUUAUAUUGAUAUAAUUAUUUAUGCAUGUAAAUAAAUUGAUACGUGUUGAUGUGAUUAUGUGUUUAACUGAUUAACACUAUGUGUAUAUAUUAUUUGUAUAAAAUAUAUNUUUGAUUCUGCGAAUUGACGACUUUCUGGAUUGCUUUCAACUGAAAUAUUAUACUGCUUUGAUAUAUAGUCUCUCGAGACGCGUGCAUCAACGAUUGUCAGAAGCAAGCAAAUAGCGUGGCAAGGCAAGUCAGAAAUAUUUUGAUAAGGCGAUAUUGUGCCGUAAGAUAGUCCAAUAGAUUAUAGUCAUUUCAGAAUUAGCGAUUGAGGCCAAUCUAGGAAUCUCGAGUAGGUGACUGUGUGUCACCUGCAUCUGUCAAAGGCAAGUAUUUCUAAUCUUCACUUAUUUAUUAAGAGCAAGUAUUUCAACUCCUUUUUAUAAAGCAAGUUUUCAAUAUAUGUCUUGUAAUUCCUGCAAGCAGGUUUCUGAUAUUUAAAAGUGCAAAUACUUUCAUCUUGUCUUGUGAUUUAAAAUAUUGAAUAUCUUCAGUUCGGUACUUUUUACUGUUCUAUGAGCAAUGACAAUUUUAUUUGAAAAGCAUUAUGAUUAUUUUAAUCAGUUUUCUGGAAAUCAUUGUCUGAGUUACUUUACAGUUUGGAAUUAUUGAUGACUCUAUAGCAGUCAUAUUUCGACAUUACAAUAUAUGCUUGGUCUUCUGUCCCAGACAUAAACCCUGGAUUUUAAAUAACUAAAUAGCUUUGUUUUCCUUUGAUCCGUAAUACGGUGAAUUUUUAAAUUAUACUCAGACUUUGAUGAAAUUGGUUUUGACAGUAUUUUGAGAUUGAGAANAUUAUAUUUAUAUUGAUAUAAAUAUCAAAGCAUGUAAAUUAUGUGUUACGUGCCAAGGUGAUUACUUGUUCAACUGUCUGAUACUAUGUGUAUAUAUUAUUUGUAUAUAUUAUAUGAUUAUAUUACGAAGGGUAGUAAUAUAAUUUUGAUUCUGCGAAUUGACGACUUUCUGGAUUGCUUUCAACUGAAAUAUUAUACUGCUUUGAUAUAUAGUCUCUCGAGACGCGUGCAUCAACGAUUGUCAGAAGCAAGCAAAUAGCGUGGCAAGGCAAGUCAGAAAUAUUUUGAUAAGGCGAUAUUGUGCCGUAAGAUAGUCCAAUAGAUUAUAGUCAUUUCAGAAUUAGCGAUUGAGGCCAAUCUAGGAAUCUCGAGUAGGUGACU